CCCGGAAUACGCUAUGGACUGACGUACUGAGUCGCUUAACCUGGGAAUGGCAUUUGGGACUGCAAGGCUUGAGUGCACAACUUACUGUGACUACUGAUGAUGACGGCAGAGGAGACUGGAAUUCCCGGUGUAGCAGUGAAAUGCGUAGAUAUCGGGAGGAAUACCGAUGGCGAAGGCAGGUCUCUGGGCUGACACUGACGCUCAUGCACGAAAGCGUGGGGAGCAAACAGGAUUAGAUACCCUAACGAUACGAUAUGACUGACGUCAUCAUGGGUAGUCCACGCCCUAAACGAUGUCGACUGGUUGUUGGGGGUUUGACACUCUCAGUAACGAAGCUAACGCGUGAAGUCGACCGCCUGGGGAGUACGGCCGCAAGGUUAAAACUCAAAGGAAUUGACGGGGACCCGCACAAGCGGUGGAUUAUGUGGAUUAAUUCGAUGCAACGCUACAUGCUGAUCGUGACAACGCGAAAAACCUUACCUACAACACGACUCUACAGUCAGACAGUAUCCUUGACAUGUCCGAGAGCCCGCAGAGAUGCGGGUGUGCCCGAAAGGGAAUCGGAACACAGGUGCUGCAUGGCUGUCGUCAGCUCGUGUCGUGAGAUGUUGGGUUAAGUCCCGCAACGAGCGCAACCCUUGUCAUUAGUUGCUACAUUCACACCAUCAUUACUAGCUCAUCAGACUGACUGGGUUGCCAAGG
rnacentral:rRNA from 1 species